CGCCCGUAGCUCAGCUGGAUAGAGUACUGCCCUCCGAAGGCAGGGGUCGGACGUUCGAAUCGUCUCGGGCGCGCCAU
rnacentral:tRNA from 1 species